rnacentral:misc_RNA from 1 species
GAUGAAGAACGAAGCGAAAUGCGAUAAGUAGUGUGAAUUGCAGAAUUCAGUGAAUCAUCGAAUCUUUGAACGCACAUUGCGCCCCUUGGUAUUCCAUGGGGCAUGCCUGUUCGAGCGUCAUUUGUACCUUCAAGCUCUGCUUGGUGUUGGGUGUUUGUCUCGCCUCUGCGUGUAGACUCGCCUCAAAACAAUUGGCAGCCGGCGUAUUGAUUUCGGAGCGCAGUACAUCUCGCGCUUUGCACUCAUAACGACGACGUCCAAAAGUACAUUUUUACACUCUUGACCUCGGAUCAGGUAGGGAUACCCGCUGAACUUAAGCAUAUCAAUAGCGGAGGA